CACCCUUAGAUGUUCUGGGCCGCACGCGCGCUACACUGAUGCAUUCAACGAGUUUCUUCCUGGUCCGAGAGGAAUGGGUAACCUUUUGAAAGUGCAUCGUGAUAGGGAUAGACUAUUGCAAUUAUUGGUCUUCAACGAGGAAUUCCUAGUAGACGUAGUUCAUCAGACUGCAUCGAUUACGUCCCUGCCCUUUGUACACACCGCCCGUCGCUCCUACCGAUUGAAUGCUCAGGUGAGCCAUUCGGACUUUCAUCAUGCUGGUUUCCAGUUUUGAUGAAGGAAAGUCUUGCGAACCUUAUCAUUUAGAGGAAGGAGAAGUCGUAACA
rnacentral:rRNA from 1 species